UGAAUUUCGGGGUCAAUAGGUCGGUCAUGCCACAGGUAUGUACUGGUCACACUGGUUCCUACCUUCUGACGAACCGUCAUGUCAUUAAUUUGGUGUGGCGGGGAAUCAGGACUGUUACUUUGAAAAAAUUAGAGUGUUUAAAGCAGGCUCGCGCUUGAAUACAUUAGCAUGGAAUAAUGAAAUAGGACGUUCGAUCCUAUUUUGUUGGUUUCUAGGAUUGACGUAAUGAUUAAUAGGGAUAGUUGGGGGCAUUAGUAUUCAAUUGUCAGAGGUGAAAUUCUUGGAUUUAUUGAAGACUAACUACUGCGAAAGCAUUUGCCAAGGAUGUUUUCAUUAAUCAAGAACGAAAGUUAGGGGAUCGAAGACGAUCAGAUACC
rnacentral:rRNA from 1 species